rnacentral:rRNA from 1 species
CCAAUAGCGUAUAUUAAAGUUGUUGCAGUUAAAAAGCUCGUAGUUGGACUUCAGGUCGUUGCGGACGGUGCGCCUCACUGGCGUCCUACUGUCUGUGGCGACCCACCUCUCGAGAACCGUUCGUGCCCUUAACUGGGUGUGUUCGGGGCUCGGGACCUUUACUUUGAAGAAAUUAGAGUGUUCAAAGCAGGCCUUCGCUUGAAUACUUCAGCAUGGAAUAAUGGAAUAGGACUUUGGUUCUAUUUGUUGGUUUCAGGACCGAAGUAAUGAUUAAUAGGGACAGUCGGGGGCAUUCGUAUUUAAUUGUCAGAGGUGAAAUUCUUGGAUUUAUGAAAGACGAACAUCUGCGAAAGCAUUUGCCAAGGAUGUUUNCAUUAA